AUCCUUCUGAGUUUUUGUGCAGGGAGCAUCUUGGUAGAGCAUGAGACUCUUGAUCUCGGGGCCGUGGGUUCAAGCCCCAUGUUGGGCA